rnacentral:lncRNA from 14 species
AGAAAAGCCAUCUCAGUCAAGAGAGGCCUAAGCUGGUGGUGAGGAAAGCUCUAUGGAGGUGCACUCCUCAGGGGUAGCCUGCUGGUACUCUUCCUGCCCUGAGAUGUCCCAGAGAAGCC